rnacentral:rRNA from 1 species
UACGAAGGGGGCUAGCGUUGUUCGGAAUCACUGGGCGUAAAGCGCACGUAGGCGGCGCGUUAAGUCAGGGGUGAAAUCCUGGAGCUCAACUCCAGAACUGCCUUUGAUACUGGCGUGCUCGAGUGUGGGAGAGGUUGGUGGACCUCCGAGUGUAGAGGUGAAAUUCGUAGAUAUUCGGAAGAACUCCAGUGGCGAAGGCGGCCAACUGGCCCAUUACUGACGCUGAGGUGUGAAAGCGUGGGGAGCAAACAGG